rnacentral:rRNA from 1 species
GAUGAACGCUGGCGGCGUGCCUAAUACAUGCAAGCCGAGCGAACGGACGAGAAGCUUGCUUCUCUGAUGUUAGCGGCGGACGGGUGAGUAACACGUGGAUAACCUACCUAUAUGACUGGGAUAACUUCGGGAAACCGGAGCUAAUACCGGAUAAUAUUUUGAACCGCAUGGUUCAAAAGUGAAUGACGGUCUUGCUGUCACUUAUAGAUGGUUCCGCGCUGCAUUAGCUAGUUGGUAAGGUAACGGCUUACCAAGGCUACGAUGCAUAGCCGACCUGAGAGGGUGAUCGGCCACACUGGAGCUGAGACACGGUCCAGACUCCUACGGGAGGCAGCAGUAGGGAAUCUUCCGCAAUGGGCGAAAGCCUGACGGAGCAACGCCGCGUGAGUGAUGAAGGUCUUCGGAUCGUAAAACCCUGUUAUUAGGGAAGAACAUAUGUGUAAGUAAAUGUGCACAUCUUGACGGUACCUAAUCAGAAAGCCACGGCUAACUACGUG